UGGAAAUGAAAGAAGAGAGGUCAAAUAAAUUUUUGGAGGUUGUAUUUUAACUGAUUUUGAUAUGGAAUGAGUGAUUAGGUCAAGUGCAAAAAAGGUGAUAUUUACAGUUUUCGGAACAUCUCUUGACUUGUCAAUAGGGGUAUGGAUGUGUAUUGGCUAAAUUUGUAAAAGUGAUUGCUUCAAUCUUUCUGAAUUUUGGAUAUAUAUUUGGACUAGGACAAUACAUUACACACACA
rnacentral:lncRNA from 1 species